UGGGGAAUAUUGCACAAUGGAGGAAACUCUGAUGCAGCGAUGCCGCGUGAGGGAAGAAGGUUCUCGGAUUGUAAACCUCUGUCUUCAGGGACGAUAAUGACGGUACCUGAGGAGGAAGCUCCGGCUAACUACGUGCCAGCAGCCGCGGUAAUACGUAGGGGCGAGCGUUGUCCGGAAUUACUGGGCGUAAAGGGUGCGUAGGCGGUUUGGUAAGUUGGAUGUGAAAUACCCGGGCUUAACUUGGGGCUGCAUCCAAUACUGUCGGACUUGAGUGCAGGAGAGGAAAGCGGAAUUCCUAGUGUAGCGGUGAAAUGCGUAGAUAUUAGGAGGAACACCGGUGGCGAAGGCGGCUUUCUGGACUGUAACUGACGCUGAGGCACGAAAGCGUGGGGAGCAAACAGGAUUAGAUACCCUGGUAGU
rnacentral:rRNA from 1 species